UCGCGCAAACUCUGCAAUGCACGAAAGUGUGACAGGGCUACCCCGAGUGCCGCCCGCUGAGGAUGGCUUUUCUCUGCUGUAAGGAGGCGGAGGAAUAAGGAGAGGGCAAGUCUGGUGU
rnacentral:rRNA from 1 species